GGAGCCAUGGAAACCCCUCAGGAGACCCAAAGGGGGCCCCCCAGGCUUCUGGUUGAGCAGUGUGGAGGUACCAUUUGUGGAGGAUGGGGGCUGCGUGUUGGGGAGCCACUCACCUUUCCAGGGGAUGCCCUCUGAAACAUCCCGGGAUGUAGCCGGCAUGUCCUUGGACACAUCUGACCUGGAGCCAGGGCUCCUGGGCGUGUCCCUGGGGACAAGGUCCCCCUGCAGUCACCGCUGUGGGAGCAUCAGGGAGAAGUCUCAGGCUGUGUGCGGGGCUCAGGCCCGCUUGGUCCCAGUCUCUGCUCCUGUUGCAGGAACACAGCCAGCCAGCGUGCCGCUUCCGGGAGCAUCCGUGCCCCUCCUCCCCCGCUAUCUCCCAUCUCUCAUCCACACAGGACGAUGAUGGCUAGGCCGAGCAGGCACUGCCAAAUCAGACGCAGCCUUUCAGAGACGGCGUCCUAUUUUGAAGUCUGUUUACUCUACAAAAAUUAAUCUCUUUGGUGCCUGGAGGAGGAAGGUGCAUGUCAAACGAAGCCAGCUCUGGAUCCCACUGCUCUCCAGCCCAGGGUCAUUUCAAGGGCCCAAGGAGAGACUGCAGGCAAAAGUGUCUGGGAAUCAGAAGGAAAAAUGCAGUUUUCUCCAUUCCUUUUUAUUCCAUUAAGGAGAAGAUCUCGUUUGGCCAAGGUGUAACCACAGCACUGUGCGGCUGUCACCGCUCACUGGGGCUGAGACACCCCAUCCUCCAGGGCCUGGUGGUCCAAGCUCACCUUCGUCUCUGGAUUUUCCUACUCUGGACGUUUCAUAGAGUACAUGUCACAGGAAUUGUCUGUGUGACCUGGGUGCCAGGUCUCUGUCACCACAUGCCUUGGGUUCAUCCAUGCCACAGCAUGAGUCGUGCCUCUCACCUUUUCAUGGCUGAAUUAUAUUCCAUGGAAACCACGGAAUAUAAUUCAUCUGUCUAUCCCCUGAUGGACAUUUGGGCUGUUACUAUCUUUUGGCAAUUAAGGAUUGUGCCCCCAUGAAUGUCAGUGUGCAAGAAUGUGUCUGAACGUCUAUUUCAAUUCUAUGGGCUACAUACUUAGAAGUGGAAUUUCUGGGUCAUAUGGUGAUCCUAUGCUUACAUUUUUGGGGAAUGGAUCUCUCCUGUUCUAAUCAAGCGAGAGCUCGUCAGGAUUCAGACCUUCAUUGGAGAGAGCGUUCAGAAGAAGUUUGCAGAACUCUUGAUUUCUAACGGCCCCACGAAGUCCAUGCUGGAUUUUCAUCUGUAGGAGCAGCACAAUAUUUUUUUAAAAAUAAGCGUUACUGUAGCCAGACGUGGUGGUGCGUGCUGGUGAUCCCAGCAACUCAGGAGGCGGAGGCAUCGCAAGUUUGAGAACAGCCCCAGCAAUUGAGUGA